rnacentral:rRNA from 1 species
CCUACGGGGGGCUGCAGUGGGGAAUAUUGGACAAUGGGGGCAACCCUGAUCCAGCCAUGCCGCGUGUGUGAAGAAGGCCCUCGGGUUGUAAAGAACUUUCAGUGAGGAAGAACGCCUGGUGGUUAAUACCCAUCAGGAAAGACAUCACUCACAGAAGAAGCACCGGCUAACUCCGUGCCAGCAGCCGCGGUAAUACGGAGGGUGCGAGCGUUAAUCGGAAUUACUGGGCGUAAAGCGCGCGUAGGUGGCUUGAUAAGCCGGUUGUGAAAGCCCCGGGCUCAACCUGGGAACGGCAUCCGGAACUGUCAAGCUAGAGUGCAGGAGAGGAAGGUAGAAUUCCCGGUGUAGCGGUGAAAUGCGUAGAGAUCGGGAGGAAUACCAGUGGCGAAGGCGGCCUUCUGGACUGACACUGACACUGAGGUGCGAAAGCGUGGGUAGCAAACAGGAUUAGAUACCCUAGUAGUC